UACGGAGGGUGCUAGCGUUGUCCGGAAUCACUGGGCGUAAAGGGCGCGUAGGCGGCCUUGCAAGUCGGUUGUUGAAACCCCGGGGCUCAACCCCGGAGGUGCGUCCGAGACUGCAGGGCUGGAGGCCGGAAGAGGAGGGUGGAAUACCCAGUGUAGAGGUGAAAUUCGUAGAUAUUGGGAGGAACACCGGUGGCGAAGGCGGCUCUCUGGCCCGGAACUGACGCUGAGGCGCGAAAGCGUGGGGAGCAAACAGG
rnacentral:rRNA from 1 species